rnacentral:rRNA from 1 species
CUGCGAAUGGCUCAUUAUAUAAGUUAUCGUUUAUUUGAUAGUACCUUACUACUUGGAUAACCGUGGUAAUUCUAGAGCUAAUACAUGCUAAAAAUCCCGACUUCGGAAGGGAUGUAUUUAUUAGAUACAAAACCAAUGCCCCUCGGGGCUCUCUGGUGAUUCAUGAUAACUCGUCGAAUCGCACGGCCUUGCGCCGGCGAUGGUUCAUUCAAAUUUCUUCCCUAUCAACUUUCGAUGUUUGGGUAGUGGCCAAACAUGGUGGCAACGGGUAACGGAGGGUUAGGGCUCGACCCCGGAGAAGGAGCCUGAGAAACGGCUACUACAUCCAAGGAAGGCAGCAGGCGCGCAAAUUACCCAAUCCCGAUACGGGGAGGUAGUGACAAUAAAUACUGAUACAGGGCUCUUUUGGGUCUUGUAAUUGGAAUGAGUACAAUUUAAAUCCCUUAACGAGGAACAAUUGGAGGGCAAGUCUGGUGCCAGCAGCCGCGGUAAUUCCAGCUCCAAUAGCGUAUAUUAAAGUUGUUGUGGUUAAAAAGCUCGUAGUUGAAUCUUGGGCCUGGCUGGCCGGUCCGCCUCACCGCGUGUACUGGUCCGGCCGGGUCUUUCACUCUGCGGAACCACAUGCCCUUCAGUGGGUGUGGCGGGGAAGCAGGACGUUUACUUUGAAAAAAUUAGAGUGCUCUAAGCAGGCCAAUGCUCGGAUACAUUAGCAUGGAAUAAUAAAAUAGGACGCGCGGUUCUAUUUUGUUGGUUUCUAGGACCGCCGUAAUGAUGAAUAGGGACAGUCGGGGGCAUCAGUAUUCAGUUGUCAGAGGUGAAAUUCUUGGAUCUACUGAAGACUAACUACUGCGAAAGCAUUUGCCAAGGAUGUUUUCAUUAAUCAGGAACGAAAGUUAGGGGAUCGAAGACGAUCAGAUACCGUCGUAGUCUUAACCAUAAACUAUGCCGACUAGGGAUCGGACGAUGUUAUUUAGUUGACUCGUUCGGCACCUUACGAGAAAUCAAAGUG